rnacentral:rRNA from 1 species
ACGUAGGGGGCGAGCGUUGUCCGGAUUUAUUGGGCGUAAAGAGCUCGUAGGCGGUUUGGUAAGUCGGAUGUGAAAUCUCCAGGCUCAACCUGGAGGGGUCAUUCGAUACUGCCAUGACUAGAGUUCGGUAGGGGUGUGUGGAAUUCCUGGUGGAGCGGUGAAAUGCGCAGAUAUCAGGAGGAACACCCGUAGCGAAGGCGGCACACUGGGCCGAUACUGACGCUGAGGAGCGAAAGCGUGGGGAGCGAACAGGAUUAGAUACCCUGGUAGUCCACGCCGUAAACGUUGGGCACUAGGUGUGGGGUUCUAUCGACGGACUCCGUGCCGUAGCUAACGCAUUAAGUGCCCCGCCUGGGGAGUACGGCCGCAAGGCUA